GAUGAACGCUAGCGGCAGGCCUAAUACAUGCAAGUCGAACGAUAUUAAGGGGCUUGCUCCUUUAGAAAGUGGCACACGGGUGCGUAACGGGAAUGCAACCUACCUUAAUCAGGGGGAUGGCCUGAAGAAAUGAGGAUUAACACAGCAUAAAAACACAGGAUAGCAUAAACCAAUGGUCAAAUAUUGAUAGGAAUAAGAGGGGCAUGCGUGUCAUUAUCUAGUUGGCGAGGUAACGCCCCACCAAGGCGACGAUGACUAGGGGAUCUGAGAGGGUGACCCCCCGCACUGGUACUGAGACACGGACCAGACUCCUACGGAAGGCAGCAGUAAGGAAUAUUGGUCAAUGGAGGCAACUCUGAACCAGCCAUGCCGCGUGCAGGAAGACUGCCCUAUGAGUUGUAAACUGCUUUUAUCCGGGAAUAAACCUUUCUACGUGUAGGAAGCUGAAUGUACCGGAAGAAUAAGGAUCGGCUAACUCCGUGCCAGCCGCCGCAGUAAAAC
rnacentral:rRNA from 1 species